AACGUCCCGUGCGCUCAGACCUGAAGCUUUCCAUGCUGUCAUAGCUGAACUGUAUACAUACUGUAGGCUACCUAUCGUCAGUGAACUGUCAGUGUGAAGAUCUCAAUCAUCGCAAGUCAGUUUGAAUAAGAACUUUCUGCACAUACAGCCAGAAUACGCGUGCGUUAGGAAAACGACUGCGCCCUCUGCUGAUAUGGGUGUGAAAAUGCUUCAGUGCUUCCCAUUCUACAGACGCUUCAGGGAAAGGUGCAAAAAACAAUGCCCUCCAGAGACAGUAGAAAGAGAAGUUGUGAAACCACGGUUGUUAUCCACUACCUCCUGGGGCAGCGAAGGGGACAGCGGCAGCAGUUUGUGUCCACAGGCCUAUUUUUCCACCAAGGCCCGACUCUCUCUCCGACACCAGCUGGACAGCAACAUCAAUGCAGUGGAUGCCACGUACUAACUUUGUCUUCCAAGUGGUCUGUUGAGAAUCCUUGAAAGUAAACUUCUGCCUUUCAGUCCCAAUACAGUUUACAUCCCUUUUGAGAUUGAGGGGAACUGGAGGAUGAGGCGUUGAGAGGAUGGAACAUGCAGCAUGAGAGCUAUUCGCAUGCGUGCCGUCACCUCUAUUGAGCGUGCU